rnacentral:rRNA from 1 species
AUGGGUGUUUCAGUUAGUGCUACAGAAUCACCGCUAGUCUUUGCUCGCUGCCUCCUGCUUCACAGAAUUUGCACUGUUGCAGUUCAAGCUGAGUUAAUAAGAAAUUUGGUUGUGUUAGCGUUACAUGGAACGACAACUCUGAAGCAUGGGGAAAAGCAAUGCCAUGAGCCUUGGUAUCUGGUGCAAGCUGGAGGAGCUGCCUAA